UACGAAGGUGUCAAACGUUGUCCGGAAUUACUGGGCGUAAAGGGCGUGUAGGCGGCUUCGCAGGUCGGUGGUGAAAGCAUACAGCUCAACUGUAUUGAGCCACGGAAACGGCGGAGCUUGAGGCUGGGAGGGGCUGGUGGAAUUCCCUGUGUAGCGGUGAAAUGCGUAGAGAUGGGGGAGAACACUCGUGGCGAAGGCGGCCAGCUGGACCAGUUCUGACGCUGAGACGCGAAAGCGUGGGGAGCAAACAGG
rnacentral:rRNA from 1 species